CUUUGGAAGAGGAGAAAGGAGCAUGCCGACCCCCCCAACAACACCACCACCUCUCUCGGGCCAAGCCUGGAGAGGCCAGUCUGGGGAGCUGGGACCCUAACCACUAUCUUCAAAAACAGUGGAGGAGGUACAGCCGCUGCGGUUUAUGGCCCUUGGGUCCUUUGGGGAUAGAGGUGAGGACCAUCUGCCGUCAGUGGUCCCCACCUGUCCAGUUAAACAGGACCAGAAGGAACUGAACGGAAGGCUUAUAGGUGUCCAGGCUCCUGUUUUCUCUCUCCCGGAACCAGCAAUGCAUGGUGUUUACACUGGGCUCUCCCUGCCCAGAACAAACUGCUAGCUAAGAUAAAUCACUGUCAGCACUGGGGAAAGUCCAGCCUUGAUUUCUAAAUCGACUUCCUCCUCACUUUCUCCUGACGGGUUGACUGGGAUCCUUAGGUAAACUCCAGCUGAAUGAGUCACCCACAGGUUCCAGACCACAGACUGUGGAGGUGACAGAAGUCAUUUGCCAAGCCCUUUAUCAGGGUUUCACCAUGUAUCCUCUGGCUGGCCAGGAAUUCACUAUGUAACCCAGUGUAGACUGGAACUCACAGAGAUCUGCCUGCUUCUGCCUUCUGAGUGCUGAAAUUAAAGGUGCUUGCAGAGACCAGAGGAGUCGGAUCCCCUGGAGCUGGAGUUAUAGGUGGUUGUGAGCUGCCUGAUGUGGAUGUUGAGUGCUGGGAACUGAACUCAAGUCUUCUGGAAAAGCAGUAUGUGCUGUUAAGCUCUGAACCCUCUCUCCAGCCUCCUUGUAGUCUUUAUAUAUUCUAGAUACUAGACCCUCCUAAGACCCAUGG